GACGAACGCUGGCGGCGUGCCUAAUACAUGCAAGUAGGACGCACUUGCGACCGGGUGAGUAGUGCGUAGGUUACUGCCUAUUAGAGUGCGAUAACUAUUGGAAACGAUAGCUAAUACCGCAUACUAGUAGAUGGAUCUGCGUUGUAUUAGAUAGUAGGUGGGGUAAUGGCCUACCUAGGCAAAGAUACAUAGCCGACCUGGGAGGGGGAUCGGCCACACUGGGACUGAGACACGGCCCAGACUCCUACGGGAGGCAGCCGUAGGGAAUCUUUGGCAAUGGGGGGAACCCUGACCGAGCAACGCAGCGUGAGUGAAGAAGGGUUUCGGAUCGUAAAGCUCUGUUGUUAAGGAAGCGGUACUUAACCAGAAAGGGACGGCUAACUACGUGCCAGCAGCCGCGGUAAUUC
rnacentral:rRNA from 1 species